rnacentral:miRNA from 1 species
AUUUAACAUUGGAGGAGCUACA